rnacentral:rRNA from 1 species
AUGCGGAGCGGUGUCGGCGCGCGCCUUCUGUCACAGGCGGUGGCCAUCGCCAUCGCCGUGGCCGUCGCCUGCUGCAUGACCGCCGCGCCCUCGUCGGCGCAGGGGACGACGACGCCCGCGGACGCCCGCGGCGCGGUGCCGUCGUGCGCGUCGAAGCUCGUGACGUGCGCGGGCUACCUGAACAUCACCGACACGCCGCCGGAGUCGUGCUGCGACCCGCUCAAGGAGGCGGCGGCCACGCAGGCGGCGUGCAUGUGCGCCAUCCUCAUGAACAGGGCCGCGCUGCAGGCGUUCGGCGUGGCGCCGGAGCAGGGGGUGCUCCUCGCCAAGCGCUGCGGCGUCACCACCGACGCGUCCACCUGCGCCAAGUACAGCGCCGGCGCCGAUGCUGGCACUGCAGGUAGCACAGCUGCUUCUUCAGCAUCCACGGGAACUGCUGCUUCUACAGUUGCCAAGCCAACGGCAAGUGGAGGAACCACGCAUCCCCUGAGCUUGAUCGCCGCAUCUUCAUUUGUAGGCUUCAGUUUCAUCUGGUGGAUGAUCAUGGCGUAG